ACCUCCACCACCCCCACCAUCUGCACCAUCUGCUUCGCCUAAGCCUCCACCUCCCCCACCAUCUACUUCUCCUAAGCCACCACCUUGCCCACCUAAGCACCGGCCAGUUACACGGUCGAUGACGAAAGGUCGGGCAGGCAUGUCAUUUCUGGGGGCGGCAUCUCCUCCACCUCCACCACCCCCACCAUCUGCUCCUAGGCCGUCACCUCCACGAUCUGCUCCUAGUCCACCACCUCCACCUCCUCCACCACCUAAGGUAAGUUUUAUGCAUCUUCAUAUAUAUUAUAAGGAGUAUGAUUAAGUAUCUGUCAAUUAAGAUUUUGAAUGUUUUUAAUUCAUAAUUUAACUAAAGUUCUUGAGAUUUGAUAUCAGUAGAGAUUUUUUAUCAGUAGUCAGCUUAGUGUAGGAGCUUUUAGAAGACGUCUGUGCUUAGUUUUAAUUUCCCAUCUGAAGUCAAGUCUCGUUUAUUGGGAGUAUUGUUUUGUUAGGUUAAUGUUUAAAUAACAUAAAGUAUAGUAACUUUUUUUUAUAGUUAUUGCAAGGAAUCAUUCGUUUCAUAGACAUAAUGAGUCAUUCGUGGAAAUUGACUUUCUCAU